rnacentral:rRNA from 1 species
GAGACCGGCGCACGGGUGCGUAACGCGUAUGCAAUCUACCUUUCACAGAGGGAUAGCCCAGAGAAAUUUGGAUUAAUACCUCAUAGUAUAGCAGUUUCGCAUGAAACCACUAUUAAAGUCACAACGGUGAAAGAUGAGCAUGCGUCCCAUUAGCUAGUUGGUAAGGUAACGGCUUACCAAGGCAACGAUGGGUAGGGGUCCUGAGAGGGAGAUCCCCCACACUGGUACUGAGACACGGACCAGACUCCUACGGGAGGCAGCAGUGAGGAAUAUUGGACAAUGGGCGCAAGCCUGAUCCAGCCAUGCCGCGUGCAGGAUGACGGUCCUAUGGAUUGUAAACUGCUUUUGUACAGGAAGAAACACUCCCUCGUGAGGGAGCUUGACGGUACUGUAAGAAUAAGGAUCGGCUAACUCCGUGCCAGCAGCCGCGGUAAUACGGAGGAUCCAAGCGUUAUCCGGAAUCAUUGGGUUUAAAGGGUCCGUAGGCGGUUUAGUAAGUCAGUGGUGAAAGCCCAUCGCUCAACGGUGGAACGGCCAUUGAUACUGCUAAACUUGAAUUAUUAGGAAGUAACUAGAAUAUGUAGUGUAGCGGUGAAAUGCUUAGAGAUUACAUGGAAUACCAAUUGCGAAGGCAGGUUACUACUAAUGGAUUGACGCUGAUGGACGAAAGCGUGGGUAGCGAACAGGAUUAGAUACCCUGGUAGUCCACGCCGUAAACGAUGGAUACUAGCUGUUGGAAGCAAUUUCAGUGGCUAAGCGAAAGUGAUAAGUAUCCCACCUGGGGAGUACGUUCGCAAGAAUGAAACUCAAAGGAAUUGACGGGGGCCCGCACAAGCGGUGGAGCAUGUGGUUUAAUUCGAUGAUACGCGAGGAACCUUACCAAGGCUUAAAUGUAGAUUGACCGGUUUGGAAACAGACUUUUCGCAAGACAAUUUACAAGGUGCUGCAUGGUUGUCGUCAGCUCGUGCCGUGAGGUGUCAGGUUAAGUCCUAUAACGAGCGCAACCCCUGUUGUUAGUUGCCAGCGAGUCAAGUCGGGAACUCUAACAAGACUGCCAGUGCAAACUGUGAGGAAGGUGGGGAUGACGUCAAAUCAUCACGGCCCUUACGCCUUGGGCUACACACGUGCUACAAUGGCCGGUACAGAGAGCAGCCACUGGGCGACCAGGAGCGAAUCUAUAAAACCGGUCACAGUUCGGAUCGGAGUCUGCAACUCGACUCC